UUGGGCAGUGGGUAAUUGCAUGAACGUGAUCUUGAAUAUCCAGAGCUCCAACCGAGAAUUGUGCUCGUCUCUGUGGCAGUCGAUUCAUCCCAUUCAAUGCUUGGGGUUUCAUGCGCACGACGGUAGGGUUUGAAACCACGUUGGGAAUGCCAAUCGAUCAUGAUUGUGGAGGGCUUUAUCUCGGGGUGGCAUUUAAGAGCUGUACAUGCGUCCAAUCCAGCUACCUUGCAGACCUCGCAGGGAUGCCAUUGUCAUUACUGCGUGACCAUUUGCAACUGGCAGUCGAGUCAUUCGGCGUUCAGGUUCGCCUCCACGAGUAGGGUUGCAACUCUGGAAGGUACGUGCAGCGCAUCGCAUUCAAUGAACAACCGCGUGAGAAGCAUCAGGAUGAUUUUAACAGUGCCUCAGACACGAACAUCAAGCCAAGGCUGCACUCUGCAAGAAGGAUAACUCUCUUCCUCCGAGGGCAGAAGCAGGCUCCAGUCACGAAUGGUCUAUCAGUGUUGAGAUGAAGGGAUAACUUGAACUGCAAGACAAGUUCUGAAACCUGUAACUCGAUGUUGAGCUCCAACAGAGGAUCUCAAUUGUCGCAGACCAGUGAUUCAGUUGUAUCCCUCUGGAUUGCCAAGACGUUCGUUCCUCUCGCAAAAUGGAGCUUAAUAAGCAUGUAUCAGGCCUUCACAAUCUAGCAUGAUCGGACCUAACUGAACAAUGGUACACUGGAUGUUUUCUUUCUCCCGAGCACUUCUCAUUCACCGGGUACGUCUUGCUAAGGCACUUCUCCUAGAGGUAUUACCAUAUGAUAACAAGUUUUGUUAUGUUAGUCCACAGUUGCAGCUCCCUGAAGCCCUAUCCGAAUACUGAUCGGCGUCUCCUAGGAAUCCACCAUCAUGCAAGAAGCUGCAGUUACCAGCCUGGAAAUGUACAUCUCAUUAUCACAGUGGUACCAACUUCUCCGAUCAGGAAAACGCGGAAGCUGAUAUUGAACCAUCGACUGCUUCAAAGAAGACAACAUGAUGAGACACUCGUGAACCGCUCAGCUUUCCGAAGCAAAACGCUGCCGACAUCGACACAGACACCGACAUAGACACGUCCUUCGGCUCAUGUUGGAAUGAAUUUAUGCAUUAUAUUGUGGGAGAUUGAUGGAUGGAUUGGUUCCUCAAUUGAAGGAUCUGACCCAGGAUUGGAGACAAAGGUUGAGAUAAAGAUGGUAAAUAAUUAUGUUGGUAAGGUUUGGGAAAUGAGGUGUAAAAUUAGAGUGGAAGUAAAUUAAAGAUUCAUUAAUAUUAAUUUAGAGAUUCUUUAAAUAAAAGUACAAUUUUCCAUACAAAAUAAGGUAAUAUUUUUUAUUUUCUAAACAAUAGUAUAUAUACAAGUAGGGCUUUUUAUGCAAAUCCAAUUAUUAUUCAAUACUUUUUAACAUCUAUUAUUUAAAUAAAAUUAAACUAUUCUCUAAUACACAUAAAAUAAAUCU